GCCUCGGUGGUGUAGUGGUAGAGCACGCGUUCCUGAGUAGGAUGAAACGCGGGUUCGACUCCCGCCUGAGGCC